rnacentral:rRNA from 1 species
GACGAACGCUGGCGGCGUGCUUAACACAUGCAAGUCGAACGGAAAGGCCCUGCUUUUGUGGGGUGCUCGAGUGGCGAACGGGUGAGUAACACGUGAGUAACCUGCCCUUGACUUUGGGAUAACUUCAGGAAACUGGGGCUAAUACCUGAUAGGAGCUCCUGCUGCAUGGUGGGGGUUGGAAAGUUUCUGCGGUUUGGGAUGGACUCGCGGCUUAUCAGCUUGUUGGUGGGGUAGUGGCUUACCAAGGCUUUGACGGGUAGCCGGCCUGAGAGGGUGACCGGCCACAUUGGGCCUGAGAUAUCGCGCAGACUAUUACGGGAGGCAGAAGUGGGGACUAUUGCAUCAUGGGCGGACGUCUGAUGCAGCAAAGCCGUGUGCGGGAUGACGGCAUUCGGGUUGCAAACCGCUUUCGCCUGUGACGAAGUGUGAGUGACGGUAAUGGGUAACGAAGCACCGGCUAACUACGUG